GACGAACGCUGGCGGCGUGCUUAACACAUGCAAGUCGAACGGAAAGGCCCUGCUUUUGUGGGGUGCUCGAGUGGCGAACGGGUGAGUAACACGUGAGUAACCUGCCCUUGACUUUGGGAUAACUUCAGGAGACUGGGGCUAAUACCGGAUAGGAGCUCCUGCUGCAUGGUGGGGUUGGAAAGUUUCGGCGGUUGGGGAUGGACUCGCGGCUUAUCAGCUUGUUGGUGGGGUAGUGGCUUACCAAGGCUUUGACGGGUAGCCGGCCUGAGAGGGUGACCGGCCACAUUGGGACUGAGAUACGGCCCAGACUCCUACGGGAGGCAGCAGUGGGGAAUAUUGCACAAUGGGCGGAAGCCUGAUGCAGCAACGCCGCGUGCGGGAUGACGGCCUUCGGGUUGUAAACCGCUUUCGCCUGUGACGAAGCGUGAGUGACGGUAAUGGGUAAAGAAGCACCGGCUAACUACGUG
rnacentral:rRNA from 1 species